rnacentral:piRNA from 1 species
UGGGUUUUAGCCUCACCACACAAAAGGAAA